GAUGAACGCUGGCGGCGUGCCUAAUACAUGCAAGUCGAGCGAACAGACGAGGAGCUUGCUCCUCUGACGUUAGCGGCGGACGGGUGAGUAACACGUGGAUAACCUACCUAUAAGACUGGGAUAACUUCGGGAAACCGGAGCUAAUACCGGAUAACAUGUUGAACCGCAUGGUUCAACAGUGAAAGACGGUUUUGCUGUCACUUAUAGAUGGAUCCGCGCCGCAUUAGCUAGUUGGUAAGGUAACGGCUUACCAAGGCAACGAUGCGUAGCCGACCUGAGAGGGUGAUCGGCCACACUGGAACUGAGACACGGUCCAGACUCCUACGGGAGGCAGCAGUAGGGAAUCUUCCGCAAUGGGCGAAAGCCUGACGGAGCAACGCCGCGUGAGUGAAGAAGGUCUUCGGAUCGUAAAACUCUGUUAUUAGGGAAGAACAAAUGUGUAAGUAACUAUGCACGUCUGGACGGUACCUAAUCAGAAAGCCACGGCUAACUACGU
rnacentral:rRNA from 1 species